rnacentral:hammerhead_ribozyme from 1 species
AUUCAGAUGACGAGUCUCAAAUAGGAUGAAACGUGCGUCUUGGAU